rnacentral:misc_RNA from 1 species
CUUGAAAGUUCCGCAUAGCAAAAUGCAGAAAGCGCUGCAGCUAUUCCAGCAAUCAGGAAGGAGAUGGCAAGGGCUGGUCCUGAAUGCUCUCUGGCAACAGUUCCAACAAGAAUAUAUACACCGGCUCCAAUAGUAGCACCAACUCCUAUUGAAAUAAGGUGAGGAAUCGAUAACUCUCUGGCUAACUGAUGAUGCCCUGAUGAUGAAGAUGAAGAUGAAG